GAUGAACGCUGGCGGCGUGCCUAACACAUGCAAGUCGAGCGACCGGACGAGAAGCUCGCUCCCCUGAUGUUAGCGGCGGACGGGCGAGUAACACGUGGAUAACCUACUUCUAAGACUGGGAUAAUAUCGUGAAACCGGAGCUAAUACCGGAUAAUAUUUUGUACCGCAUGGUUCAAAAGUGCAUGACGCUUUUCCUGUCUCUUAUAGACGGUUCCGUGUUGCAUUAGCUAGUUGGUAAGGUAACGGCCUACCAAGGCGACGAUGCGUAGCCGACCUGAGAGGGUGAUCGGCCACACUGGAACUGAGACACGGUCCAGACUCCUACGGGAGGCAGCAGUGGGGAAUAUUGCACAAUGGGCGCAAGCCUGACGGAGCAACGCCGCGUGAGUGAUGAAGGUCUUCGGGUCGUAAAGCUCUGUUAUUGGGAAAGAAAAGCUGUAUGUGAAUCUGUCGACGUCCUGACGGUACCUAAUCAGUAAGCAACGGCUAACUUCGUG
rnacentral:rRNA from 1 species